AACAUAUGGUCAAACUAAAUCCAACAUGAGAUAUUUAGUAUGGAAUGAAUAGAGAUACACAAGAUAACACACAGAAAAAAAGUCCUCAAAAAUAUCACUACAGGAUACUGAAAUAUCACAUCAUAUUUAUUGGGGGAAAAAGUAUUUUCCAAUGUCCGUUAUCAUGCACUGUGCGCUAUUUUUUCUCUACUUCCGGAAAGAAGUAAACAUCGCAUUUCGCUGUCAAAUUGUUUGGAACACACUCUGUUCGAAGAAUACUGGUUAUUGUCAAGUGAAUCGUGUAUGUGCUGAGGAGAAUUGUGUUAUUUGCGAUAUGAAAGACGAACGUAAAAUAGCAACAUUGGGUGAAAAAAAAAUGUAGAUAGUUAAUUUCUGCAGCCAGGAAUAAAGGAGAACAAAUGUAUGUUAGACCUGAGAAAUUUGUGUGCUAUGAGUGUAGAAAAAUUACUGCCACCCGAAUCUACUUGGAGAUGCAAACGGUACCUCUAUAACGUAGCGAAACGGAAACAUUCAUCUGACUUCUUUUCAUUUCAAAUGCCUGUUCUGUGGAACAGAUGCCAAACAAAAUGACAAAAAGGCAUAUGAUAAUUUCCAAAUUUCAGUCAACAAUAAAGAAAAAUUGGAAGCGAAGUCUUCUGUUGACUCUAAUCCGUACAUGAUCUAACAGCAGCUGCUGCAAGAUAUCAUCAAAAAUGUAGCACACAUUUCAGAACAGGAUGUCAAGUUCCGACUAUACAUCAAACACCUCAAAAUACAGUAAAACGUAGUAAAGGUAGACCAACAAAAGAAUCAUCUCAAGAGGCAUUUUUGAAAACCAUGCAUUAUUUUGAAAACACUGAAAGUGAACAAAUAGCUUAAAUUAUUGAAUGAUCCCAGGCAGAGUCUUUGUAAUAAACACUCUUAACGUGAUGACAUUGAAACAGCUGGUAGUAUAUCAUUCAAAAUUAUGUUUGUACAAAGGUAAAACAAAUGACACAUUGAGGUACAGAAAAUUCAUUACGAAGGCAACAAGCACAUCGGUAGUAAAGAUACAGACCCUAACUCCUACAGAGGCAACUGCAAAGUUUCAGAAUUUAGAGUGCACUGCCAUUAAAAUAGAGACAUGGAUUGGAAAGGAAACGAACCCUUUUGACUUGGGAUGGUACAAACGUGGUGAUAAACUUGUUCCUUGGCACAGAGGUUGCUCUACUGGGAUGGCUGUAAAUGUCAUGACAUAAACACUUAACUGACUUUCAUAAUCUUGAGAGCAAUGAAAAGUUUUUCGAACAUACUAACUUUAUAAUUGAGCAUAUUUUUACAGUAUAUCGCAUCACAGAGUUUUGUUCUCACAUGUUUGUACAUUACGGCUUUGUGUACAUUUGCCGUUACAUUUGCUGUUAGCUGAAAAUUGUAGUUUAGUAUCGAUUUAAAUUUACUGUAGUAACCUGUUCUAUAUAUACUAUAGUACAGUCACUGUUGAUCUGGGAUUCUUUUCCUGAAUGUUUCUUAAUAUACUGUUGUUAUUAUAACAUUUAUUACAUUUAGUGCGAGUUUCAAGGAAAUAGUUUAAAGAUAUUGCAUGCACGUUUUAUUGAUGGGUGGACCCGCCCGCUUAGCGCAUUGGGAAGAGCACCGAUCUACGGAUCGCGGGAUCGUGAGUUGGAUCCUUGGGCGGGCCGUAUGUUCUCCAUGACGACUUGAUAAAAGACAUUGUGUCUGAAAUCA
rnacentral:lncRNA from 1 species